rnacentral:rRNA from 1 species
CACGUAGGCACCAAGCGUUGUCCGGAUUUAUUGGGCGUAAAGAGCUCGUAGGCGGUUCGGUAAGUCGGGUGUGAAAACUUUGGGCUCAACCCAAAGCGUGCACUCGAUACUGCCAUGACUAGAGUUCGGUAGGGGAGUGGGGAAUUCCUAGUGUAGCGGUGAAAUGCGCAGAUAUUAGGAGGAACACCAACGGCGAAGGCAGCUCGCUGGGACGGAACUGACGCUAAGGCGCGAAAGCGUGGGGAGCGAACAGG